UUGGGCCUGGUUCCCUCCCUCCUGCUCUAGGCCCAGAUGCUGCGACAUCCCAGAAGCCCAGACCCUCAACCCCUCUGGAUGCUACAUGGGGAUGUUGGAUGGCUCAGCCCCUGUUCCAAGGAUGUUGGUGUGCUGAGAUUCUCCCCUACAGACAUGAAAUUCACCAGCUACAGAUGCCAAAUGACUUACAUCCUAAGAAGUCUAGAAGGUCCAGCCUUGCAGCAGCCUCUCACUCUGAGACAUGAGCCUUGGGAUGUAGCAGCAUCAAUGGGACGAAAUGGACACUGGGCCACCCUCCCAGGCAUGAGACACAGGACAUGGGUGGAGAGACUCCUUCCCCAUGGCUGCCUUGGCUCCCCCAUCUUGUCUGAGGCUGCUCUUCAGUCAGACUCCCUCUGUGUACCAUGGUGGCUCUGGGACCAGGCCUGCCUGACCAGUGGCCAUUGCCACCUUCCCCAGCUGCCUCCUACCAGCAGUUUCUCUGAUGACCUGUCAACAGGUUAGCCAAUCUGGGGCUUCCACUGCCUGCAUUCCGGUCCCCAGAGCUCAGUGGUCCUAAAACAGGAAGUACAUCUUGGGGCAUGGUGGCUACUGUGAGCAAAUGGUGUCUUGGGCAAUCUGAGGCCAGGCCAGAUGUUGCAUCACUCACCGGAGAUGGCGGUGAGGGAGGUGGGUGGGGCCUUCUAGGAAGGUGAGAGUAGGGGGCACCUGUCCCCGCCCUCCCCAUCCCCUAUUCUUGCUGUUCAUUGUGGGCCAUAGCAAGGGUGCCACAGAAUAUCUUGUCCACCCUGGGACACGUCUGAGUUUGAAGUGGGAUGCUAUUAAAAACUACAUGGGGCAACA